rnacentral:lncRNA from 1 species
GCCUCUACUACAGCCUUGUGUAGCCCGAACGCUCUCCAUAAAGUAUACCCUGGGGUUGGAAUCAAAGGCCACAGAGUUGUACAAGACUAUCUGCAAGUCACCAUUCAAGUCUUCUGAGUCGUUGGGUCUGUGAUUGUGCAGGCGCCAGGGACUCCUGCCUGAAGACCCUGGGUCCCCCAGCAGUGGACAGAGGAAGGUUCCAAUGCUUUUAUGUCUUUAUUUUAUUUUGUCUUCAUCUCCCUCCCCACAAAUAAAAACUUUGGUCAGGC